AUUGAACGCUAGCGGGAGGCUUUACACAUGCAAGUCGAACGAGUGGCGGACGGGUGAGUAAGAUAUCGGAACGUGCCCAGUGGCGGGGGAUAACUACUCGAAAGAGUGGCUAAUACCGCAUACACUCGGAGCGGCCGAUAUCGGAUUAGCUAGUUGUUGGGGUAAAGGCUCACCAAGGCAACGAUCCGUAGCUGGUUUGAGAGGAGGUCCAGCCACACUGGGACUGAGACACGGCCCAGACUCCUACGGGAGGCAGCAGUGGGGAAUUUUGGACUAUGGGUGAAACCCUGAUCCAGCCAUCCCGCGUGUAUGAGAAGGCCUUCGGGUUGUAAAGUACUUUUGGCAGAGAAGCGGUAUCUGCAGAAUAAGCACCGGCUAACUACGUGCCAGCCGCCGCGGUAAUUC
rnacentral:rRNA from 1 species